GUUCUGCCUUUAGAGCUAUUGCAACAGUUCAAGUCUUCAGAUUUUCCUAAUCAGCUGGAAUACGAGGCAUGGCAGAAGAGGAACCUGAAGAUACUCGAGGCUGGUCUGCUCUUGCAUCCCCAUCUUCCGCUGGAUAACAGAGACAGCUCUGCUCAACAACUUCGCCAGAUCAUUCGUGGGGCUUCUGAAAAACCUAUGGAGACCGGGAAGCACAGUCAGUCAAUCCAAGCCCUUCGCAAUGUGGUAAUGUCGCUUGCCUGCAGAUCAUUUGAUGGGUCUGGCUCUGGGAUGUGCCACUGGGCUGACGGUGUUCCACUGAAUUUUCAUCUCUACCGAAUACUUCUUGAAUCUUGCUUCGAUGUGGGUGAUGAAACUGCUGUCAUUGAUGAAGUUGAUGAGGUUUUAGAACUCAUCAAAAAGACUUGGAUCAUCCUUGGUAUAAACGAGAAUUUGCACAAUCUUUGCUUAGCAUGGGUUUUGUUCAGUCGAUAUAUUGCCUCUGGGCAAGUUGGAAAUGAUCUGCUUUUUGCCACUGAUAGUCUGUUGCUGGAAGUUGAAAAGGAUGCAAAGGAUCUUAAGGACCCAGCUUACCGGAAAAUACUGAGUUCUACAAUGAGCUUGAUUUUGAGUUGGGCAGAGAAACAACUUCUUGCUUACCAUGAGAACUUUUACGGGAGUAACAUUGAUAUAAUGGAGAAUGUUCUGUCACUGGCCAUAUCUGCUGCCAGAGUACUUGCGGCAGAUGGUUCUCAGGCGAACCAUAGAAAAUGGAAAGAACUUGAUGUAGCAUGUGGUAGAGUUGACUCUUACAUCCGAUCAUCUCUGCAGCGUGCAUUUUCUCAGGCAAGUUUAGAUUUUUCCUGCUUUUGUUAGGUACUAAAACGCAUGAAAUAGAGUUGGUCAAUUUUUGCACUCCAAAGUUAAAAAGAAGUUGAUCCAUUGAAUUUCCUCCUGGAUGAAGUUUUGCAAAGAAAUAUCUUUUUCCACUAGAUUAAUUUCGAUCAUUGUUUGUCAAUUUUACUAGUUGCUUCAGUGUUCUGGCUGCAGUAAAUCCUAUAUGGGUCCCCCAUCAUAAAAUAUUCGCUCCUUUUCAUGGCCUAAGAUGAGUAUAAUAAAUCAUUGGCUUCACACGUGUUGUCAUCUUUGCACAUUCCAUUUGAUUUUGCCUAAAAGUUACUCAAUUUUGUUCUAUUUGCUAUACCUGAAGACAGGAAAAAGAGAAGAUAAUCUCAAGUAGGAAGACUGCGAAGAACCAGCAGCAUUCUCUUCCCAUGCUAUCUGUGCUUGCCCAGAAUAUAACAGAUCUGGCUUUUAACGAGAAGGAAAUAUUCAGUCCAAUACUCAAGCGAUGGCACCCUCUUGCAACUGGUGUUGCAGCCGCAAAGCUUCAUGCUUGUUACGGAAAUGAGCUGAAGCAAUUUGUUUCUGGUAUAACAGAGCUGACUCCUGAUGCUGUACUAGUGCUGAUAGCUUCUGACAAAUUGGAAAAAAAUCUUGUACAGAUGGCCGUUGCAGAUUCUGUGGACAGUGAUGAUGGUGGGAAAGCAAUAAUUCAAGAGAUGACUCCUUAUGAAGCUGAAUCUGUCAUUGCUAACCUGGUAAAAUCAUGGAUAAAGACAAGGGUGGAUAGACUCCAGGAAUGGGUUGAGAGAAAUCUGCAACAAGAGGUCUUUAAUCUCUCAUUCGUUUUAUGACUCCAUGUCUCUGUUUGAUUGGCAUCAUUAGUUAUCGUUAGCUUGUUGAUCACAUCCUGGCACUAAAAUUAAAUUCUCCACAAAAAAUUCUGAUUGUCGAGGGACUAUGUGAUGGUUAGUCAGAUGGCUUAGUCUAUAUGUGAUUCAUUUGGGCUACUUUUCUUGUGCAAGGAUGUCUUGUCUUUGUCUGGUUUCUUCUUUAUUUGUUUGAUGUUAGCUGCGUUUUGAUGCACAAAUUUUAUACGUUAUACUCCUAAGCACAUGGGAGUGAGUAAUUGCAUUACAGACAGAUAAAAAGGAACAGCUGCAUGGAUGAAAUUUCCCUUGUGCCUCCACUCCUAGCAUUCAUUAUAAGAAGAUGUAAGUUAGGAUGUUGAUUUAGGACAAGGUAUACGUGGUACUGUCAAAUUGAGUUUUUGUAUCCUCACCAAAUUUGGUUCAGAGUACCCAACUUCCCUUAUCCUGAUCCCCAGGGCAGAAAAAAGGAAAAAAGUAAUGGCUCAUUUUAGGUUAGCUUCUCAAUAGUUAAAGAUAUUCUGUCGUUGAAAAAUGAAACAUCUGGUUAGCCAGAACUGCAGGACUUAAGAUUAUUUGCCUCUUGUAACAGGUCUGGAACCCUCGUGCAAACAAAGAGCGAUUUGCUCCCUCUGCAGUGGAGGUUCUUCGCAUUAUUGAUGAAACUUUGGAAGCAUUCUUCCUGUUGCCAAUAGCAACACAUCAAAUUUUGAUUCCUGAUUUGAUGAAUGGUUUGGAUGCCUGCCUCCAGAAUUACAUAAUAAAGUCAAAAUCUGGCUGUGGUAAGUAUCAUAUAGGCUGGAAAAAGGUAUCUGAAUUAACCAAUCAAAUUAUUUCUUUCUGAAUUUAAUUUAUACAUGUAUCUGCAGGAUCUAAAGAUACUUUUCUUCCUCCUCUACCUGCUUUGACAAGAUGUACUGCUGGCUCAAAGUUUGGUGUAUUUAAGAAGAAAGAUAGAUCAUAUAUGGUUCAAGUAAGGAAAUCUCAAGUUGGCUCUAGUGAUGUGGAUGACUACUUUGGUAUACCAAAGCUAUGUGUUCGCAUAAAUACCAUGCAUCUCAUCCGGAAAGAGGUGGAAGUCUUGGAGAAGAGGAUAACCUCUAAUUUGACAAAUAGUGGUUAUGUUCAAGAUAGUAUUGUGACAGUUGGGUCAGAUAAAAUGUUUGAGCUUUCAGUAGCAGCUUGUGUGGAGGGGAUCCAGCAACUCUCUGAAGCAACUGCCUAUAGGAUCAUCUUUCACAAUCUGAACCAUGUUUCUUGGGAUUACCUGUAUGUGGGGCAGGUCUCAUCAGCCAGGAUUGAACCAUUUCUUCAACUGCUAGAGCAGAAUUUAGAAAUUGUAUCAGCAACGGUGCACGACAGGGUCCGGACUCGCGUAAUUACACAAAUAAUGAAAGCCUCUUUUGAUGGGUUCUUGUUGGUUUUGCUUGCUGGGGGCCCUUCUCGUGCUUUCACUGUGCAGGAUGCUGCAGUAUUAGACGAGGACUUUAGGUUUCUUAUGGAGCUAUUCUGGUCCGAUGGGGAUGGAUUACCGACUGAUUUAAUAGACAAGUAUUCAGCCGCUUCAAAGGACGUCCUUUCACUUUUUCAUACUGAAACUGUAAAACUUGUUGAGCAAUACAAAAUUGUGACUCUUAAUAGGUAUGGAGCUUCAGACAAUUCCAGGCUUCCACUACCACCAACUUCAGGUCAGUGGAGCGCUGCUGACCCUAACACAAUUCUUCGAGUUUUAUGUCAUCGAAAUGAUGAGGUAGCUACAAAGUUUUUAAAGAAGACCUAUCAUUUCCCAAAGAAGCUGUGAGAGAGAUUUCAAGGAGGUGAUGCAAAUGUAGAAUUUUACCAGGCAUCAGCAGUUCCUCUUAUUUACUUGUAAUGACAUUGAUCGACCUCACUACUAUAAGAAGCAGAUUUUUCUUGCAUAGAGUAUCCAUGGGAGAUUCUUUCUCAUCAAAGCAAUUACCACAUAGAUCCUAACAGAAUCUUUCAUCGAUAGAAUCAUGGGGCUUGCUCUUUGGUAUAUUGUAUAUAAGAGUUCGGACUUCCAGUUUCAGACAAUAUUUGAAGUCCUCGACUGCUGCUGAGACGACGGAAGAUAACUGCACAAGCUGGUAACACAGUUGUAUCUCCUAAAUCGCAAGUCUAUCACCUUACUGAGCUUUGCCUAGAAAGGAAGUUCAAAUUUGCUGUACAGAGAGAGAUGUUACAACGCAGGUUGGAUUUUGACUUGUUUUUAUAGUCUACAUGUGGAACUGCUUGAAGCUGAAAUUUUUAUGCCACAUGCAUUUACUAAAAGAUAUUCUAGAGUUACUGAGGCUUGCUGAAUAAAUGGAUUGCUAUCAUUCUUUGAUUUUGUGGUUCAAGUCGUUCUCAGUUCAAAAGGUAUGAAUACUGAGUAGUUGAUGAUGAAAUGGAAGACUGCCGUUGUUGUUGGUGUUGCUGUUGUCAUACUCUGUCCCUUCGGCUUAUUUCCUUGUUCUUCCUGUCCUACAAACUUCUUCGUUGAUAC
rnacentral:lncRNA from 1 species